rnacentral:rRNA from 1 species
GAGUUUGAUCAUGGCUCAGAGUGAACGCUGGCGGCAGGCCUAACACAUGCAAGUCGAACGGCAGCACAGUCCCGCAAGGGAUGGGUGGCGAGUGGCGGACGGGUGAGGAAUACAUCGGAAUCUACCUUGUCGUGGGGGAUAACGUAGGGAAACUUACGCUAAUACCGCAUACGACCUACGGGUGAAAGCGGCGGACCGCAAGGCGUCGCGCGAUUGGAUGAGCCGAUGUCCGAUUAGCUAGUUGGCGGGGUAAGAGCCCACCAAGGCGACGAUCGGUAGCUGGUCUGAGAGGAUGAUCAGCCACACUGGAACUGAGACACGGUCCAGACUCCUACGGGAGGCAGCAGUGGGGAAUAUUGGGCAAUGGGGGCAACCCUGAUCCAGCGACGCCGCGUGGGUGACGAAGGCCUUC